CUUAUGUGGUUCUUCCCCGACAACACCCAGUUGUUUAGAAAUUUUUGGAAUGUUGUAGCAUUACAAUUUCCCUUUCAUUGGAGCUAACCUGUUCCAGCAUGACGAUGCACCUGUGCGUGAAGCCAGGUUCGAGAAGGCAUGGUUUGCCAAGGUUGGUGUGGAAGAACUCGACCCCUCUGAUGAUGAUUGCCGACCGCUCCCCAGGCCUUCCAGCACAAAAUCAGUCCCCAAGCUCACUAAUGCUCUUGUGGCUGAAUGGACACGAAUCCUCACAGCCACGCUCCAAACUCUAGUGGAAAGCCUUCCCAGAAGGAUGGAGGAAUGGGAUGUUCAACAAGCACAUACGGGUGUGACGGUCAGGUGGCCAUAUAGUAGUUCUUGUCGGGUCAGCACAAGUUCCAAAGGACAAGGAACCUUGAUGGUUAUCUGGGAGACAAAUAACCAGAGCUACAUACGUAACUAUCAUUCUGUUUCACCUGGCUUUAUCAUCAGGGAUGCUGAGAUGGCAUGAGGAACUGACCCACUUUUAGGACUGACUGGUAAGUUGUUCAGAGAUGACCAUCGCAUUCAUUCUACUGGGAGGGGGCGAUGUUAAAACUGGAAGAUGAUUGAGAACGUGAACUGUGAUGCCCAGCGUAGACUUAGUAAUGCUCAUGAGGAGAAGACGGUAGGGCGGGGCAUCCAGCCUGUCCAUGGUUAUGAUGUCCACCAGCUUCUAGUUAGAUAUGGGAGCUUCGCAUGUUUUUCCUCUGAUUGGUGAAGAAUUGGCCGGAGGUUCAGAUGUCCACCAUCUGGUCUAAAUAGUAUUGGGAACAACAGGGAAUGGUUAGUCAAUUGAUUUUACAAAAAUUGGACGAUAUGAACUUGGUUAGAAAUCCAAGGCCAUUGGUUAUUGUCAACAACAAACUAAUUACAGUCGAGGUCAUGAAAAGGCAACACGAUACAUUAAGAACCAGGGGUGUAUCAAAUGUUUUGUUUAACGAUCAAAUUUUUUCCCCUUUAGUACUGCCCUUCAGACGCUAUA
ensembl:lncRNA